AUGGAGAACACAAGCAGAUCCGUGAAUCUUACUUUCUCCAUUGAGGACAAAAAUGGAAAUAACAUUACUUGCCCCAAUGAGCAUUCCCCUGAUUCACUCAGGGGCUCUAGCAGUUUGAGUUGUGGCAGUUCAGAUAGUCCUCCUGAUGAAGAAAUGGAGGACUGUAUCACUUUCCCAACAAAAGGUGAGACGUCUUCAAAGUUAGUGAAAUCAAGUGGCGAAAUUGCUGUAGACUUUGUCCAAUCAAACACUGACAACUGGAAUGAGAAUUUGACUCUCUUGAUAGUGGACCCAAAAAACACUGAAUGCAAUGGCUGUGACAGAAGCUCGGAAACCUCCCCUGACUGUGGUGAGCGAGAGCUGUCUGAGGUGGACUCCUGCGAGCCAUCACGUCGUGGAUCCAGUGAGAACUGCUGCUCUGUGAGCUCAGGUGAGAUGGUCAUGAGAAGUAACAGCUUUCUUUUGCACCAGAAUGAUCAGCUACUGAGCAUCUCACUGACUGGGGAGUCGAGAACCUCCUUGGAUAUAUCGUCGGAUCUCGGCGUGGUAUCUGGCACGUUACCUGAUGUGUGCGAGGGCCUAACUAAGGUGCCACAAGAAGAGCCCAAGAAUCAGGGCCUGGAGUGUACCUACAUUCAACCAAACAAUCAGACAUUUCUCAUAGAUGAAAAGUCAUUGAGCACUGAGAAACUUGAAUGUGGCACACCUGUUCAUUAUCACAAAUCCAAUAAAGAUGUGGCAAAGUUGGCAUGCAGCAAUGGUGGAUCCGAUCACUCAACCCCAUUGGAGGGAAAAACUGUGCUGCUUACUGCUUCUGAUGAUCUAGACAUCAGUGGCAAUGCUCAAACCUCAACUCCAGUGCAGUCUGUGAGUAACAAGACACUUUGCCUCCCAUCUUUAUCUGAGUCACCUCUGAAUAAAGAUGAAGGUGAUUCAAUGAGUCCAAUGGCUCAAGUUAUCAGUCAGAAGCAAGGCACUGCCUCUCAAAAGCCCAAAACUCCCUUGGUGUCAGCCAGUAAAAGCAAUAAGAUAGAAAUAAAACGGUUUCCAAAGCCUAACUUCAGUAAUAUAAAGUCAAAAAUUAUGUCACAUGCCACCAACCCCUUCAAGAUAUCAAGUGCACAAGUUCCAAAGACUUCAUCAAAUGCUGUCCCUCAAAAUAAUGAAAGCCAGACUAUGGACCAACAUAAGUCAUCUCCUACCAAAUCCACUUUUACUGCAGUAACCAGCACAUCUGCCACACCAGCUCAAAGUGUAAAGAGCUCUAAUGCAACUAAAAGGACUCGCUCAUCAACUUGCCAAGAAAGUGGUCUAGCCUCAAAAUCUCGACCUCGCCGAUGGUCUGAAAGUGCUACCUCUUUCAAAACGAGUAAAGGUGGAUCACAAGAGAAGAAUCCACAGGUCAAUGGAGUCUUGAACAGCCUCGUCACACCACAAAAAAACACUAAAGGAGGUGCUCAGAAUCAGGGUGGGAAACCUGCAGAAACCGAGUCCAAUAGAGAGGACACACAGGGGAAUGAGUCUCUGAAGGUCCGAGGGAAGAAUCAGAAAAACAGUCUUUUGGUGAGUGUUAUGGCCAAUAACUGA
ensembl:lncRNA